rnacentral:lncRNA from 10 species
AGAUGCAUGGAGGGCCUGGAAUCAUGAUGAGGGGAGGGGAUGCGGUGCUCUCUCGGGCACCGGCUGCACUAUCAGCGUUCCCUGGAGAAACAGAACCCUUAGGAUUUAUAUAGACAUAUAGAAAGAUUUACUGUGGGGGAUUGGCUCAUGCCGUUACGGAGACUGAGAAGACCCAUGAGCUGUUGUCUGUAAGCUGGAGGACCAGAAAAGCCAGUGACGUGGUUUCAGUCCAAGCCUGAAGGCCUGAAACCCAGGAGAGACAAUGUUGUAAGUCCCAGCCUAAGUCAGAGGCCUGAGAACCAGGAGCCCGCUUUCCAAGGGCAGGGGAAGAUGGAUGUCUCAGCUCAAGAAGAGAGUGAAUUCUCCCCUCCUCUACCUUUUUGCUCUAUUCAAGCCUUCAGUGGAUUUGAUAACGCCCACCUGAAUUUGCUUGUCUCCAAUGUUCUCAUUUUCUCCUGCACCAACAUCGUGGGUGUCUGCACCCACUAUCCGGCUGAGGUCUCCCAGAGACAGGCUUUCCAGGAGACCCGAGAGUGCAUCCAGGCGCGGCUCCACUCGCAG